CGCGUAGGCGGUUUGUUAAGUCGGAUGUGAAAGCCCCGGGCUCAACCUGGGAAUUGCAUUCGAUACUGGCCGACUAGAGUACGAGAGAGGGAGGUAGAAUUCCACGUGUAGCGGUGAAAUGCGUAGAUAUGUGGAGGAAUACCGGUGGCGGAGGCGGCCUCCUGGCUCGAUACUGACGCUGAGGUGCGAAAGCGUGGGUAGCAAACA
rnacentral:rRNA from 1 species